GACGAACGCUGGCGGCGUGCUUAACACAUGCAAGUCGAACGGAAAGGCCCUGCUUUUGUGGUGUUCUCGAGUGGCGAACGGGUGCGUGACAGGUGAGUAACCUGCUCUUGACUUUGGUAUAACUUCAGGAAACUAGGGUUAAUACCGUAUAGUAUCUCCUGCUGCAUUGAGGGGGUUGGAAAGUUUCGGCGGGUGGGGAUGGACUGGCGGGUUACGAGCUUGUUGGUUGGGUAGGGGCUUACCAAGGCUGUGACGGGUAGGCGGCCUGAGAGGGUGACCGGCCACAUUGGGACUGAGAUACGGACCAGACUCCUACGGGAGGCAGCAGUGGGGAAUAUUGCACAAUGGGCGGAAGCCUGAUGAAGAAACGCUGCGUGCGGGAUGACGGCCUUCGGGUUGUAAACCGCUUUCGCCUGUGACGAAGCGUGAGUGACGGUAAUGGGUAAAGAAGCACCGGCUAACUACGUG
rnacentral:rRNA from 1 species